rnacentral:rRNA from 1 species
GCCCAGUGAAUUUUUUUUCAACGGCCGCGGUAUCCUAACCGUGCAAAGGUAGCAUAAUAAUUUGCCCAUUAAUUGUGGGCUAGAAUGAAAGGGGUAACGAAAUAAGCUCUGUCUCAAUAAAACAAAUAAAAACUAGUAUCCAAGUGAAGAAACUUAGAUAAGAUUAGAGGACAAGAAGACCCUAUAGAGCUUUAUCUUUAUAUACUUUAGUAAAACAAAGAUUCGGUUGGGGCGACCAUGGAUAAAUCAUCCAUAAUAAUUAAGAUUAACUAAUCAAGCUAUAGAUCCUAUUAAGAUCACAGAAUUAAGCUACCUUAGGGAUAACAGGCUAAUCCUAUUAAAGAGCUCUUAUCGACAAUAGGGAUUGGCACCUCGAUGUUGGCUUAGAAUAUCUAUAUGGCGCAGAAGUCAUAAAAAGAGGGUUUGUUCAACCCAUAACAUUCUACAUGAGCUGAGUUCAGACCGGCGUAAGCCAGGUUAGUUUCUAUCCUUAAUAUCAACUAAAAAUUUAUAGUACGAAAGGACCUAAAUUUUACAUUAAAUGUAACAAUAAAAUAAAUUUAAUAAAUUAUAAACAAAAUAAAUUAUAUACUAUAGGAAAGUUGGCAGAUAAAUGUAAUUGAUUUAGAAUCAAUAAAUGAGUGAUAACUCACUUUCUUGCCACUUAGUUCAAAUAGAAUAGUUAGUUUGCAUCUAACAGGUGAAAUUUUCAGUAGCAGCUCAGCGUUUCGGAAACAAAAGACUUUGAACGUCUUUAUCAGGUGUUCAACUCACUUAUGAGCUUAUUAAGAUGGCAGAAUA